rnacentral:lncRNA from 1 species
CAAGCCAUCAAGUUCCCAUGAUGUUCCCUGUUAAAGCAUCUGCUAGAAGGAUGAGACUGUUUGCAGGGAAUUUUUUGCUUUCUAAGGCACCACAGGUGAAAUCCCUCUUAGCAGCUGGCUUAUGA